rnacentral:lncRNA from 1 species
CUGAUAAAAAUGCCUUUCUAAGAAUAACACUUUGAUGUUUUUGGCUCUCAGCCACAGGAUCACCUCGCUGAACCACUUUGCUUUUGAUACCUGUGUUAAGACCCAUGUGACUGGUUUAGGUAUCACUGAAAAGGAAGACCACCGUUUAUUGCACCAGCAAUACUGUUUUGAGAACGUCAGACUGCGUUAUCAGAGGGAUGAGGGAUUUCUCACCUAGAUACAGACAGACCUGUGAGCUGUUGUUUAUCUAACAGGAGUCAAAGUAGGCUUCUAAGCCUCAAACAGUGCCUAAAGCCUGAUGCUGUCUCUCAGAAGAGCGUAACUUCCUUACUGUUUGGAGGAGGAGAGAGGAAGGGAUCAGUCCUCCCUCUUUUCCUGAGACAUGUAUUUUGUUUUCAAGAUUCAUCAGAAAGAUCCCGAACACUCUGGAGUCAUCUCAUGUCUCGUCUCUGGCUUCAGCAGUCUUUCAUGCAAGUGCUGAAGUGUCCUGCCCAGUUGAUUGUCAGUGACUACUGCAAGCUCACGCUAUCUCCAGUACUGUUACGAGUGCCUCCUGAAUCCUGGAUAAGACUUUCGGAUCUGGUUCUUUACACGGCCUUAGCUUGCCGUGUCCUUCCUCUGCUCACAGCCACACUGAAGCACACUAGGUGUACCUGGGUAAAAGAGAUGCCUCUAAGUCUUGAGUAAUGCUGCUGAUAUCAAAUGGCAGCAAAAUCGAGUCUACGUUCAUCUAAAAGCAGAAAAGUGAGUUGGACACAACGGAGAAAUAACAGAAGUCAACAACAUGAUUUGGAAGGGUACGUUAAUUUUAGUAAUGCUUACCAGAAAUUAAGAGGAAUUCACAUGCAGUAGGAAUCAGAUCCUCUUCAACACCAAGAACUUCUCGGUCCUUUCAGGAGCCAAGAUACUGAGCUGCAUAGAACAGUGACCUUGUAUGACACCAGAAACCACGGCCCUUUGGAGGGAGGGGA